rnacentral:rRNA from 1 species
CACAUGCAAGUCGAGCGGAAACGAGUUAUCUGAACCUUCGGGGAACGAUAACGGCGUCGAGCGGCGGACGGGUGAGUAAUGCCUAGGAAAUUGCCCUGAUGUGGGGGAUAACCAUUGGAAACGAUGGCUAAUACCGCAUAAUACCUACGGGUCAAAGAGGGGGACCUUCGGGCCUCUCGCGUCAGGAUAUGCCUAGGUGGGAUUAGCUAGUUGGUGAGGUAAUGGCUCACCAAGGCGACGAUCCCUAGCUGGUCUGAGAGGAUGAUCAGCCACACUGGAACUGAGACACGGUCCAGACUCCUACGGGAGGCAGCAGUGGGGAAUAUUGCACAAUGGGCGCAAGCCUGAUGCAGCCAUGCCGCGUGUGUGAAGAAGGCCUUCGGGUUGUAAAGCACUUUCAGUCGUGAGGAAGGUAGUGUAGUUAAUAGCUGCAUUAUUUGACGUUAGCGACAGAAGAAGCACCGGCUAACUCCGUGCCAGCAGCCGCGGUAAUACGGAGGGUGCGAGCGUUAAUCGGAAUUACUGGGCGUAAAGCGCAUGCAGGUGGUUUGUUAAGUCAGAUGUGAAAGCCCGGGGCUCAACCUCGGAAUAGCAUUUGAAACUGGCAGACUAGAGUACUGUAGAGGGGGGUAGAAUUUCAGGUGUAGCGGUGAAAUGCGUAGAGAUCUGAAGGAAUACCGGUGGCGAAGGCGGCCCCCUGGACAGAUACUGACACUCAG